rnacentral:rRNA from 1 species
CGGCAACAGCUCAAAUUUGAAAUCUGGCCUCUUUUGGGGUCCGAGUUGUAAUUUGUAGAGGAUGUUUUGGGUACCGCACUGGUUUAAAUUUCUUGGAACAGAAUGUCAUAGAGGGUGAGAGCCCCGU